GGGGUUGUGGCUCGGUGGUAGAGCAUGCGCGCCUAGCAUGUGCGAGGCCCUGGGUUCGAUCCUCCGCACCACA
rnacentral:tRNA from 1 species